ensembl:snRNA U6 U6 spliceosomal RNA
GUGUUCGCUUCGGCAGCACAUAUACUAAAAUGAGAACCAUACAGAGAAGAGUAGCAUGGCCCAUGAGCGAGGAUGACACAAAAAUACAUAACGCCCAUCAGGUAUCA